rnacentral:rRNA from 1 species
GGGGGGGGAUGAAGGCGGGGAGUGAACCUGCCCUAUGAGGAUACCGUGUAGGCGUGAAUGCUGGAAUGGUUUGUAUGUUUAAAUGUUUUCCGCCUUAGGAUGGGUCUGCGCGGCGAUUAGGUUGUUGUUGGGGUUACGGUCCUUCAAGCCGGUAUUCUGUACGGGUUGUGGGAGCAAGAGCCCGCAGAUGGAUUCUGAGACACGAAUCCUCGCGCUACCGGGGGCACCAGGCGCGAAAACUUUGCAAUGCGGGAAAACGUGACAAGGGAACACCGAGUGGCCGUUCCUUCAGGCGGUCCAUCUGUUUAAGUGACAGAUCAAUAAGGGGCCGGGCAUGACCGGAGCCAGCCGCCGCGCUCCUACCGGCACGCUCGCGCUGGUGGUGCGCUGUUAUUGGUCUGAAGGCGAUCGUAGCUGGUUUGUUAAGUCUCUUGUCAAAUCUAUAUCGCUUAACCGUCAAUGCGUCUCAUGGAUACUGGCACUACUACGGACUGGGAGACGUGAGGGGUACUCCACGGGUAGGAGUGAAAUCUUGUAUUCCUUGGCGGACCACCUGUGGCGAAUGCGCAUCACCACAACUGCUACGACUCUGAGGGACGAAAGCUGAGGGAGCGGGCCGGAUUAGAUACCCGGGUACUCGCAGCUCUAAACGAUGCGCGUUAGGUGUUUCGGUUACCACGAGUUUCCGAGGUGCCGAAGACAAAUCGUGAAUCGUGCCGCCUGCCAAGUACGGUCGCAAGGCUGAAACUUAAAUCAAUUGGGGAGUUGAGCACCACAACACAGUGGAGCCUGCAGUCUGCUUGUACUCUACGCCCGGCAACUGACCUCUUACCACAGCUGACUGAUAGACGGGCUGCAGGCUCUACAUGACUAUCUGAUAGGAGGAGCGUGGGCCUCGUCAGUUCGUACUGUGAAGCGUCCAUGUAUACUCAUGAAACAAGCGAGACCCACACCCCCAGUCGCUAGCUCGUCUCCGGUCUGGUGGGGACACUGUUGCUAC